rnacentral:rRNA from 1 species
CAGCAGUCGCCGCGGGAAUACAGAGGGUGCGAGCGUUAAUCGGAUUUACUGGGCGUAAAGCGUGCGUAGGCGGCUUCUUAAGUCGGAUGUGAAAUCCCUGAGCUUAACUUAGGAAUUGCAUUCGAUACUGGGAAGCUAGAGUAUGGGAGAGGAUGGUAGAAUUCCAGGUGUAGCGGUGAAAUGCGUAGAGAUCUGGAGGAAUACCGAUGGCGAAGGCAGCCAUCUGGCCUAAUACUGACGCUGAGGUACGAAAGCAUGGGGAGCAAACAGGAUUAGAUACCCCUGUAGUCCCUGUCUCUUAUAC